rnacentral:rRNA from 1 species
CUACGGGGCGCAGCAGUGAGGAAUAUUGCACAAUGGGGGGAACCCUGAUGCAGCAACGCCGCGUGGAGGAUGACGCAUUUCGGUGUGCAAACUCCUUCUAUAUGUCAAGAAAAUGACGGUAGCAUAUGAAUAAGCACCGGCUAACUCCGUGCCAGCAGCCGCGGUAAUACGGAGGGUGCAAGCGUUACUCGGAAUCACUGGGCGUAAAGGACGCGUAGGCGGGUUGGAAAGUCAGGUGUGAAAUCCUACAGCUUAACUGUAGAACUGCACUUGAAACUUCUAAUCUAGAGUAUGGGAGGGGGAGAUGGAAUUAGUGGUGUAGGGGUAAAAUCCGUAGAUAUCACUAGGAAUACCUAAAGCGAAGGCGAUCUCCUGGAACAUUACUGACGCUAAGGCGUGAAAGCGUGGGGAGCAAACAGGAUUAGAUACCCUAGUAGUC